UAGUAAAGCAAUCCCCCGCGGGAGCCCUGGCUACCGGGAUACGAUGCGCCGCGAUGCUAGUCGAUUCCUCCGACAUUCCGCGGGAAUACGGCAGGUACAUAAGCGACAUAUUCCCGAGGGGGAAACGGGAGUCGGCGGCGCAGGUGAAAACCGAUCGGCAGGGGGACGGCAGGAAGGACGAGCACAUGAUACGCGUAAUCGUCGCAGGUCGCGCAUGCUGGUGGGGAAUUUCACUGCGAGCGAGCGCGCAUGCACGUUUGUCGGAUGCGGAACGCAAAAAUCGCGCGCCCGAGAUAUCCGCAGAGAAACACAGAUUACGAGUCUAUCUAUCGCGAUCCAGCCCGGAAGAUAAAGGAAGCGCAGCCGGGCAUCGGUGCGGCGGCAGCGGAGGAAAGUUUCGCUCCUGACUCGCUUGACCUGCGCUCUAACGAAUUCUAACCGACGCCCUCCCCCCCCUCCCACCCCCGACGACGUCAACUCGACCGGGAUCAAAUAAUAACAAAUAAGUCGCAAAUAUGCGUCACUACAAUUGCGAGAGCUUACCACUUACGUGGCCGUUCGACCGUUGGCGUGACUGAUAAACAAAACGGCUUUCGAAGACUAACGGCUUUAUA